CGUAAUUCGCUAAAAAUACGUAACACGCCGAAAGUACCAUACGUUUUUCAACAAACGGCAACCGCUAUGCGGUAAGAAUACGCAACACGCGGCGCGUUUACUUUCUAAACAACGCAUGUUUAUUGAUCUCUUAAGCCGGGUCCAGACGUACGCUUGAUGCCGACGAAGAGAUAAAAAAAUCACAAACACAGGAAAAUAAAAGAUGUGUUUCAUAUAAGCAGCGCAGAGCGCGAGGUAAUGAUUAAGAGAAACAGACGGGGGCAUUCGUACUGUGCCGUUUGAGGUGAAAUUCUUGGAUCGGCGCAAGACAAAUGACUGCGAAAGCAUUUGACAAGAAUGUUUUCUUUAAUCAAG
rnacentral:ncRNA from 1 species